rnacentral:rRNA from 1 species
UACGUAGGUGGCAAGCGUUGUCCGGAAUUAUUGGGCGUAAAGCGCGCGCAGGCGGUUCUUUAAGUCUGAUGUGAAAGCCCACGGCUCAACCGUGGAGGGUCAUUGGAAACUGGAGAACUUGAGUACAGAAGAGGAAAGCGGAAUUCCACGUGUAGCGGUGAAAUGCGUAGAGAUGUGGAGGAACACCAGUGGCGAAGGCGGUUGCCUGGGGCUUUGCUGACGCUGAUGCGCGAAAGCGUGGGGAGCGAUCCGG